CAGAAAGGCAAAAAUGAUCAGUCUUGCUUCCACACUUGCCAGCUGAUAUUCUCAAGAUAGAAGAAGACCUAAGACACUAUGUUGCUGCAGUCCUUGGAAUUGCCAUCACGAAACCAAUAGUAAUUUCCCGUAGUCAUAAGUAGUGACAAUCGCCCUUAUGUCUCAAAUAACCUAAAUUGUCAACUUGCUUGAAUUGAUCAUCCAUAUCUUGUUAUACUGAG
rnacentral:misc_RNA from 1 species